GGUGAUUGUCUAUGUUAUGUUGCUUGUUAGCACAGUGUUUCAUUAGUGCCACGGUUGUCACGUUGGUUUGUUUUUUCGAACACUUACCACGCCGCAUCUGGGUCCGAUCCUUACUCCUCUUCAGACGAAGAGGAGGACAUCUGCCGUGACACGCCUUUGAAAUGACUGGCAUUUGGGGGAGCAAGAAAUGCAAACUUAAAUUUGGUUGGAUUAUUCUCAUAAUAUGAUAAUAUUAUAUGUUAAUUUUGACAGAUUUUGAUAUCAAGCAACUGUAUCCUUGCUCUUUUAAAUGUCAGAUUGAUCCAAUGAUGUACAAGUACAUCAUCAAUGAACACAACCACUGGACUGUGACGGUUGUGCUGCCAUCUCAAGAGGGCUCUGUUUCUCGACCCAAUGGGGGAAAGGGCCAGAAAGAUACAAAGAUGCCAGGAGUUGACAAGAUCAUUCCUGAGAGAGAAGGGGUGUAAUAUCUCCAGAUGGGCGUGUGGUACCCUUCCUCACCCAUGCCAACAAGAUGUUACUUCUUGUGGGGUCUCUGCCUUGAAAACAAUGACCCAACACACCUCCAGGCUGUGUAAGGACUAUUUGACCAAGAAGGAUGGCGUGAUGGCGUGCUGCAUCAGAUGACCUGGCCUCCACAGCUGGUUGAGAGAAGGCCAAGAGUGUGCAAAGCUGUUCCAAGGCAAAGGGUGGCUACUUUGAAGAACCUCAAGUAUAAAAUAUAUUUUGAUUUGUUUAACCCUUUUUUGGUUACUACAUAAUUCCAUGUGUUAUUUCAUUGUUUUGAUGUCUUUACUAUUAUUCGACAGUGUAGAAAAUAGAUUAUUUAAAAAAAUCCUUGAAUGAGUAGGUGUGUCCAAAUGUUUUACUAGUACUGUAUUUAAAUGUAUCAGGGGGUAGCGCAGCACCCUUCACGGAGCUAUGAUUAUACUUGGAAAACUAAUGGCCAUAUUAAAUUGUUAAAACAAAGAAAUAAAGUGCAACGCUGGAGAGAUGAGGGUUGUAGGCUCCUGUCUAUCAGAGCAGAGAGGGGGAGAGAUGAGGGUUGUAGGCUCCUGUCUAUCAGAGCAGAGAGGGGGAGAGAUGAGAGUUGUAGGCUCCUGUCUAUCAGAGCAGAGAGGGGGAGAGAUGAG
ensembl:lncRNA